UCUUGGAAAGUCCUAAUUCCUAGUCUAUAAAAUGGGGACCCCUCUCUUAGACGUCCCAUGAUCAAUUCUCUUGUAGAUUUUUUAUUUUUAGAGUCUCUUCUCCUCCUCCUCUCUUUCUCUUCCAGAUCUCCUAUCACUUUAGAGUGUCCUAGGUGCUUGUAGAAGAAGGAAGAGGUCAGCCAUCGAAUUUGUUUGCAGACUAGCAUCUCCAAGCCCCUGAUCUGCACCAGUCUUUGCAUGAAUUUUUCUAUAGAGGUCAGACA
rnacentral:lncRNA from 1 species